rnacentral:rRNA from 1 species
AUUGAACGCUGGCGGCAGGCCUAACACAUGCAAGUCGAGCGGAUGAAGGGAGCUUGCUCCUGGAUUCGGCGGCGGACGGGUGAGUAAUGCCUAGGAAUCUGCCUGGUAGUGGGGGAUAACGUCCGGAAACGGGCGCUAAUACCGCAUACGUCCUGAGGGAGAAAGUGGGGGAUCUUCGGACCUCACGCUCUCAGAUGAGCCUAGGUCGGAUUAGCUAGUUGGUGGGGUAAAGGCCUACCAAGGCGACGAUCCGUAACUGGUCUGAGAGGAUGAUCAGUCACACUGGAACUGAGACACGGUCCAGACUCCUACGGGAGGCAGCAGUGGGGAAUAUUGGACAAUGGGCGAAAGCCUGAUCCAGCCAUGCCGCGUGUGUGAAGAAGGUCUUCGGAUUGUAAAGCACUUUAAGUUGGGAGGAAGGGCAGUAAGUUAAUACCUUGCUGUUUUGACGUUACCAACAGAAUAAGCACCGGCUAACUUCGUG